AUUGAACGCUGGCGGCAUGCCUUACACAUGCAAGUCGAACGGUAACAGGUCUUCGGUUGCUGACGAGUGGCGAACGGGUGAGUAAUACAUCGGAACGUGCCCGAUCGUGGGGGAUAACGAAGCGAAAGCUUUGCUAAUACCGCAUAAGAUCUACGGAUGAAAGCAGGGGACCGCAAGGCCUUGCGCGAACGGAGCGGCCGAUGGCAGAUUAGGUAGUUGGUGGGAUAAAAGCUUACCAAGCCGACGAUCUGUAGCUGGUCUGAGAGGACGACCAGCCACACUGGGACUGAGACACGGCCCAGACUCCUACGGGAGGCAGCAGUGGGGAAUUUUGGACAAUGGGCGAAAGCCUGAUCCAGCCAUGCCGCGUGCAGGAUGAAGGCCUUCGGGUUGUAAACUGCUUUUGUACGGAACGAAAAGACUCUGGUUAAUACCUGGGGUCCAUGACGGUACCGUAAGAAUAAGCACCGGCUAACUACGUG
rnacentral:rRNA from 1 species